rnacentral:rRNA from 1 species
CGGAACUGGGUGGCGGCGGCGGGGGUAAGAGGGAGGUUGCAAGCGUGGUGUGGAUUUAUUGGGUGGAAAGGGAGUGGAGGCGGGGGGGGAAGUCCGCGGGGAAAGAGGCGGGCCUAACCCGGGAAGUGCGGAGGGGACUGGUCGGCUAGAGGAUGGGAGAGGAGGGCGGAAUGGCCGGAGUAGCGGUGAAAUGCGUAGAGAUGGGGAGGAAGGCCGGUGGCGAAGGCGGCGCACUGAAAUAUUUCUGACGCUGAGGCUCGAAAGCGUGGGGAGCAAACAGGAUUAGAUACCCCAGUAGUC